GUGCUCGCUUUGGCAGCACAUAUACUAAAAAAUGUCUAACAAUAAAGAGAUUAGCAUAGCUCCCGCACAAGGAUAACAUGCAAAUUCAUAAGGCAUUCCAUAUUAAA